UACGGAGGGUACAAGCGUUGUUCGGAAUCACUGGGCGUAAAGGGCGCGUAGGCGGACAUGUAAGUCAAUUGUGAAAUCCCCAGGCUAAACCUGGGAAUGGCAGUUGAAACUGUGUGUCUUGAAUACUAAACAGGGUGACGGAAUUCCUGGUGUAGAAGUGAAAUUCGUAGAUAUCAGGAGGAACACCAGAAGCGAAAGCGGUUGCCUAGAAAUGUAUUGACGCUGAGGCGCGAAAGCGUGGGGAGCAAACAGG
rnacentral:rRNA from 1 species